AACGCUAGCGGCAGGCCUAACACAUGCAAGUCGAGGGGUAACAGGGAUUGCUUGCAAUCCGCUGACGACCGGCGCACGGGUGCGUAACGCGUAUACAAUCUACCUUUUGCUGAGGGAUAGCCCAGAGAAAUUUGGAUUAAGACCUCAUAGUAUGUAUUUAUGGCAUCAUAGAUAUAUUAAAGGUUACGGCAAAAGAUGAGUAUGCGUUCUAUUAGCUAGAUGGUGUGGUAACGGCACACCAUGGCAACGAUAGAUAGGGGCCCUGAGAGGGGGAUCCCCCACACUGGUACUGAGACACGGACCAGACUCCUACGGGAGGCAGCAGUGAGGAAUAUUGGACAAUGGAGGCAACUCUGAUCCAGCCAUGCCGCGUGCAGGAAGACUGCCCUAUGGGUUGUAAACUGCUUUUAUACAGGAAGAAACACUCCCUCGUGAGGGAGCUUGACGGUACUGUAAGAAUAAGGAUCGGCUAACUCCGUGCCAGCAGCCGCGGUAAUACGGAGGAUCCAAGCGUUAUCCGGAAUCAUUGGGUUUAAAGGGUCCGUAGGUGGAUAAUUAAGUCAGAGGUGAAAUCCUGCAGCUUAACUGUAGAAUUGCCUUUGAUACUGGUUAUCUUGAGUUAUUAUGAAGUAGUUAGAAUAUGUAGUGUAGCGGUGAAAUGCAUAGAUAUUACACAGAAUACCGAUUGCGAAGGCAGUCUACUACGUAUAUACUGACGCUAAUGGACAAAAGCGUGGGGAGCGAACAGGAUUAGAUACCCUGGUAGUCCACGCCGUAAACGAUGGACACUAGUUGUUGGAUAUUAUUUCAGUGUCUAAGCGAAAGUGAUAAGUGUCCCACCUGGGGAGUACGAUCGCAAGAUUGAAACUCAAAGGAAUUGACGGGGGCCCGCACAAGCGGUGGAGCAUGUGGUUUAAUUCGAUGAUACGCGAGGAACCUUACCAGGGCUUAAAUGUAAGUUGCAUUAGUUAGAGAUAGCUAUUUCUUCGGACUACUUACAAGGUGCUGCAUGGUUGUCGUCAGCUCGUGCCGUGAGGUGUCAGGUUAAGUCCUAUAACGAGCGCAACCCCUAUCGUUAGUUGCUAGCAGGUCAUGCUGAGGACUCUAACGAGACUGCCGGUGCAAACCGUGAGGAAGGUGGGGAUGACGUCAAAUCAUCACGGCCCUUACGUCCUGGGCUACACACGUGCUACAAUGGUAUAUACAGAGAGCAGCCACCUGGCGACAGGGAGCGAAUCUAUAAAGUAUAUCACAGUUCGGAUCGGAGUCUGCAACUCGACUCCGUGAAGCUGGAAUCGCUAGUAAUCGGAUAUCAGCCAUGAUCCGGUGAAUACGUUCCCGGGCCUUGUACACACCGCCCGUCAAGCCAUGGAAGCUGGGAGUACCUGAAGUCGGUCACCGCAAGGAGCCGCCUAGGGUAA
rnacentral:rRNA from 1 species